rnacentral:rRNA from 1 species
UGGCGGACGGGUGAGUAACGCGUGGACAACCUACCCCGCCACUGGGGGACGAACAGCCGGAAACGGCUGCUAAUACCGCAUAUGCGCACAGCCCCACAUGGGGCGGUGCGGAAAGCCUUGUGCGGUGCGGGAUGGGUCCGCGUCUGAUUAGCUGGUUGGCGGGGUAACGGCCCACCAAGGCGACGAUCAGUAGCCGGCCUGAGAGGGUGGACGGCCACAUUGGGACUGAGACACGGCCCAGACUCCUACGGGAGGCAGCAG